CUUCCUCUUCCCCCGCCCGACCCGCCCCGCCGCCCCACCGGCGUAUUUUGGACCCUGAUCCGCCCCUCCCUCUCACACGAUUCGCCAUCCAAAAGCCCUUCUCUCAGUCAAGCGACGACCAAUCGAGCAUUUCCAUUGGGAAAGUGCAGCUUAACUAAGCUACGUCGUCAUCAAAGAGCCACCUUGACGUUGUUUUUGGUUACUUAAUGGAAGGGUUUUGAAUGCGAUUAUAGUUGGAGUAGGUGGGCCGAUGACAUCUCCAGCGGCCGUUCUAUUAUUAUAGAAUGUCCCGCUGGAAUGCGACAAACGAACAAGAUUUAGGGGAGAUGAAUUGUGACUGAGUUCUUCUGAUGAGUUUGAGACUCUUGCUGCCGAUGAGAUACCAUAUGUCCACAUAGUGAAGUGGCUUUGGCAACUUGUUGCAGCUAUUUCCAGAGUCGUAUUAUAGAGAAUGGAGCUUUAGAGUGAGAGGAGCAAGUCUGCAUCUCCCAGAUUCUUGAAGGAUUUGAAUCCGUUGAGGGUUAAAUACUCGAAACUGAAGAUGAUCAUCGAGAAGGUAGCAUCUGAUGAGGAGAAGGGUGAGGGUAGCUGCAUAUUGGUAGGACUCUCAUUGGAUGCCAAUGGCAGGGAGUUGCUUGAUUGGGCACUCAGCAAAGUUGCCAAGCAAGACGAUCGCGUCGUAGCAGUUCAUGUCUGCCGCAAUUCAGAACUCUGCAACACCUCUACGUUUUCUCUGAUCAAAGUUUUAGAUGAAUACCUAGCAGUAUAUGAAGGCUUAUGCAAUUUGAAGAAAGUAGCUCUUGUGGGCCGGGUCUCUCCGGGAAGUUCUAUUCGGAGAGUCCUGGUGAAGGAGGCCAAACUCUGUGGUGCCAGGACAGCGGUAGUUGGAGUCCACAAUAACUAUUCAUUUGGGGGUUCAGCUUCUCUUGCCAAAUAUUGUGCCAAGAAGCUGCCUCCAACCACUAAUUUGAUUGCAAUUCACAAUGGAAAGGUGAUCUUUCAAAGGGAAGCUACCAAAACACCUUCAGGAGGAGACCCAAAGUCGACGCUUCGUAAUGUGUUACAUCCAAGUGUUAGCAUGGAUGCCAAAAUAAUUGUCCCAAGUUCGAAGGUUAAGCUCGACAAAGGAUCCCCUAGGAUCUCCAGUGUUGGAUAUAGGUGUGGACUAAACGAAGAGGUUUCAAAAGAUCACAGCCUCGGGAAGAUGGCAGAAGUUGGUCCUGUCUCUAUUUCAGUUCUUGUAAGAAGGCUGCCAGAACAGAGGCCUGGUUGGCCCCUACUACGAAGAGCAGUUUCAGAAAACCUACAAGCACCAAAGGAUGAUGAAGCCCGGAAAAUGUCAGUAGUCCAAUGGGCUAUGAACCUACCGAAAAGAGUUUCGCCAUCUAAUCAGCCGCGGAUGGACCUGAUCAAGGAGCUGAAGGUUAUCCUAGGAACAAGUACCUCUACUUGCAAAUGGUUCCAAUACGAGGAACUCCAGAAUUCAACCAAUCAGUUCUCUUCAGAGAAUUUGAUUGGAAAAGGAGGGAGUAGCCAAGUUUACAAAGGAUGCCUUCCCGAUGGUCAGCAUGUGGCUAUCAAAUUGUCAAAAUUAUCUGCGGAAGCAUCGAGAGAUUUCCUUUUGGAAGUUGACAUCAUGACUAAAUUACAGCACAAGCUCAUGGUGCCAUUGAUGGGCAUCUGUGUGGAGGACAACCACCUUAUUUCCGUGUACAGCUACUUCUCCAAAGGAAGUUUAGAGGAAAACCUCCAUGGUAAGAGAACGAAGGCACCACUACCAUGGGACAUGAGAUUUAAGGUGGCAAUGGGGAUCGCCGAGGCUCUAAGCUACCUUCACAAUGGCUGCUCUCGGCCGGUAAUUCAUAGAGAUGUCAAGUCCUCGAACAUUCUUCUCAAUGAUGAAUUUGAGCCUCAGCUAUCCGAUUUUGGCUUAGCUAUGUGGGCACCGACAACUUCAGCCUACGUAACACAUGGCAGUGUUGUUGGAACUUUUGGCUACCUUGCUCCGGAGUAUUUUAUGUAUGGGAAGGUCAGUGAAAAGAUUGAUGUCUAUGCCUUUGGAGUUGUUCUACUUGAACUGUUGUCAGGAAGAAAGCCAAUCAGCGAUGAUAACCCUGAGGGCCAAGAAAGUCUGGUCAUGUGGGCAACACCAAUACUAGAGAGAGGGGAUGUUAUGAAUUUAUUGGAUCCCAAUCUCGAUUUGAAGCAUGACGAGGUUCAAAUGAGAAGAAUGGUUUUAGCUGCAUCUCUUUGCAUUACAAGGGCAGCUCGUCUCCGACCUCAAAUGAGCCAGAUUCAGAGCCUUCUCCAAGGAGUAGAAGACAUGGAGGCAUGGAUGAACUGCCUCACUGAUACUGCUACACUCAAUGAGUUGGAUUGUCAAGAUGAGGAAACCUAUCCAGCUUCAAGCAUUGGGUCACAUUUAGGCCUUGCACUGCUUGAUGUGGAAGACGAUGCAUCGGUCACCAGCUUCGAACAGAGCCAACUAGGUUCCUUGGAGGAGUACCUACGAGGAAGAUGGAGCCGCUCUUCUAGUUUUGAUUAGCUUCCCAUUAGAGAAAUAUGACAGCAAUUCUUUUCUUUUUAACUUUGUGUGCUUUGGGGCAUAUUUGUACAGUAUUAAAGCCAGUUGCAAGACUUGCAGAUCGCUGCUUGGUAUUACACAAGCUUCCAAAGAAGGUGAUGACAUGAUAAUAAGAGAGACGUCAACAGGGCAAAGAGUAACAAUAAUCCAAGGCAACAUGAAGCAUGGCGAUUCAAGCAAAUUUCAAAAUUAAUGACGAGAGUUCGCGUUAAGUUUUUAGGUACGCACACGAUCAUAUGAUCCUCUGCAUGUAUUCUCCGCAUAAGGCAACGGUGAGCUCGGAUUGGAGACUUUGAUGAAAUUUGCUUCAUAGUACUGCUACUUUCCGCAAUGACAGUCAACUCGAUUACAAUAAAAAAAAAAAAGACAGUCAAUUUGGUAGUG